AGUCAAUGCUUACAGCGGCAUGCAAUACGUAAUCAUUCUUAUGUUGUUAAGUUUUGCUGGGUUUGUAACAACCAUUUUUUUACAAUGCACGAAUACAGAGUUCAUCAAAAUGUUCAUAAAUCUAUGACGUCAAACAUGUUUAAAUGUAGUAUAUGUAAGCCCGAAGAAGAAUAUAUGUCUUUUCGUGACUUGAUGAGACAUCACAAAAGCCUGCAUUUGAAUACACCUUGCGACAUGAAUGACAAUACUUACAAAGAAAAGGAGGAGGUAAACGAACAUCAAUCUGUGUUUUUGAGACGGCUAAAUACUUAUGACGGAC